UCUAGCCCGGGUUGGUCUGUUUUUUUUUUUUACUCUGCGGGCUCCGGCCCUGCCCUAAACACGGGCGCCAAACGCGGACGACGACUCUUUUCCGCCGCCGGCCACCGCAGUCAGAGGCAGCUGCUACCCGCCGACCAAGUACGUUCUCACCGGACAUUAAUCUCAAGCUCAUGUGAAACCAUAGGCCUUCUUCCUCUCCUGAAGAGUGAAGUCCUGGCAGAUCCUGACUGGAACCAUGCUCAACCACCCCACCCCACUGCCGCCCCAGUUUCUCCCACCCCCGCAGCGCCGCCGAUCUUGCUGAUCUCGCCGAUACGCGUGCAGCGGGUGUUCCAUGGGUCGGGCGAGCGAUGAAGAGUGGCCCGCAUUCAGAUGCUGGGCUCAAGGUGGUAAGAAUCUAAAGCACCAGUCCCAUCUCCCCUUUUGGGCUCAACUUUGAAAAGUGCAUAUAACUGAAUCGUACAGCUGCUCUCAAAGUCAUCUACAUAACAAGACGACCGAACUACCGUGGCUAUCUGGUAACGACAUUGUUAUCCUAUCUUUUCAUCCUUUUGACUUAUCAGGAGCCAAGAUACAGGGAGCAGGAGUUCAACCUCCAUGCUUUGGGUGGCUUUGUGCCUGUGAGAACUGAGCGAUCUGUCAACAGAACCAUGUUGGAACUAAUUCAUGGUCAAUCUUGGGAUGGAUUGCCUGCCAACCUAUGGAGAUUAUGGUAUUAUUAUCUACUGUAGUUGCAUAAUUCUCUUUCCCUUCGAUGAUAAUGACCGACCUGAAGGAAGAGAUCCCGAGUGCUAUGGCAGGUCGUCAACGGAUUCUUCUGUGAGCACGCCCAAGGCGUGGUACCAUUGAUACGAACGGUGGACUCUCGAGUCACUGAACUCGCUGCAUCGACAUGAGACGACUGUUUUGGCGUGGUUUGAUCCCAGCCACUUGUUUCGGAUCCGAUGCUUGAAAAGCCUGUAACAAAGUUCAGGUAGAAAGAAAAUCAAAAGGCCUGUAAUUAUUCUGGAUGCUGCCCUGUACUGUAACGCAAGAAUAUUCUUGUGAAGAAAAAUAUUUUCCUGUUUCUGGAUUUGGGACUGGAUGCCAAUGCAUGUGCAGUUAGUUA